AACGAACGCUGGCGGCAUGCCUAACACAUGCAAGUCGAACGAGAUCUUCAGGUCCAGUGGCGCGAGGGUGCGUAACGCGUGGGAAUCUGCACUUUGGUUCGGACUCACAGUUGGGAACGACUGCUAAAACAUGAUGAUGACGCAAGUCCAAAGCUCUAGCGCCAGGGGAUGAGCCCGGGUCGGAUGAGCUAGUUGGGGUGGUAAAGGCACACCAAGGCGACGAUCCUUAGCUGGUCUGAGAGGCUGAUACGCCACACUGGAACUGAGACACGGCCCCGACUCCUACGGGACGCAGCAGUGGGGAAUAUUGUACAAUGGGCGAAGGCCUGAUCAAGCAACGCGGGGUGAGUGAUGAAGGCCUUAGGGUUGUAAAGCUCUUUGACCCGGGAUGAUAAUGACAGUACCGGGAGAAUAAGCUCCGGCUAACUCCGUGCCAGCCGCCGCCGUAA
rnacentral:rRNA from 1 species